rnacentral:lncRNA from 1 species
GAAAGAGAAGAAAAGAGGAAGUUGAGGCACAGCAGGAAGACAGCCAGAAGAGCCAGAAAGUGCAAGAAUGUUUGUGGGUGUGCUUGGCAGGGCAUCUCUGAAGGAAGACAUGGACUUCCAAACCAGGGAGAGCUGGAAAGUGACAAGGAUUUAGGGGACCCCUGUGGUCCCUCUGGACACUGCACCUGAAAAGGAGAGCUCGGGCAGCAGCACCCGAGAGCAGAGCGGUCCUGAAGCUGAGGCAGCGUCUUCCAGGGCUGGGAGGUCCUAGGGACCCACAGCCACACUGUCUC